UACGGGGGAGCAAGCGUUGUUCGGAUUUACUGGCGUAAAGGGCGCGUAGGCGGCCAGCACAAGUCAGUUGUGAAAUCUCCGAGCUUAACUCGGAAAGGUCAACUGAUACUGUGCGGCUAGAGUGCGGAAGGGGCAACUGGAAUUCUUGGUGUAGCGGUGAAAUGCGUAGAUAUCAAGAGGAACACCUGCGGCGAAGGCGGGUUGCUGGGCCGACACUGACGCUGAGGCGCGAAAGCCAGGGGAGCGAACGGG
rnacentral:rRNA from 1 species